rnacentral:rRNA from 2 species
GAUGAACGCCGGCGGUGUGCCUAAUACAUGCAAGUCGUACGCACUGGCCCAACUGAUUGAUGGUGCUUGCACCUGAUUGACGAUGGAUCACCAGUGAGUGGCGGACGGGUGAGUAACACGUAGGUAACCUGCCCCGGAGCGGGGGAUAACAUUUGGAAACAGAUGCUAAUACCGCAUAACAACAAAAGCCACAUGGCUUUUGUUUGAAAGAUGGCUUUGGCUAUCACUCUGGGAUGGACCUGCGGUGCAUUAGCUAGUUGGUAAGGUAACGGCUUACCAAGGCGAUGAUGCAUAGCCGAGUUGAGAGACUGAUCGGCCACAAUGGAACUGAGACACGGUCCAUACUCCUACGGGAGGCAGCAGUAGGGAAUCUUCCACAAUGGGCGCAAGCCUGAUGGAGCAACACCGCGUGAGUGAAGAAGGGUUUCGGCUCGUAAAGCUCUGUUGUUGGAGAAGAACGUGCGUGAGAGUAACUGUUCACGCAGUGACGGUUCCAACCAGAAUGACCGUCC